rnacentral:misc_RNA from 1 species
CCUAAUACAUGCAAGUCGAACGGAAGUUUAAGCAAUUAAACUUUAGUGGCGAACGGGUGAGUAACGCGUAAGCAAUCUGCCCCUAAGACGAGGAUAACAGUUGGAAACGACUGCUAAGACUGGAUAGGAGAUAAGAAGGCAUCUUUUUAUUUUUAAAAGACCUAGCAAUAGGUAUGCUUAGGGAAGAGCUUGCGUCACAUUAGUUAGUUGGUGGGGUAAUGGCCUACCAAGACGAUGAUGUGUAGCCGGGCUGAGAGGUCGAACGGCCACAUUGGGACUGAGACACGGCCCAAACUCCUACGGGAGGCAGCAGUAAGGAAUUUUCGGCAAUGGAGGAAACUCUGACCGAGCAAUGCCGCGUGAACGAUGAAGUAUUUCGGUACGUAAAGUUCUUUUAUUAGGGAAGAAAAGAUGGUGGAAAAACCAUUAUGACGGUACCUAAUGAAUAAGCCCCGGCUAACUAUGUGCCAGCAGCCGCGGUAAUACAUAGGGGGCAAGCGUUAUCCGGAAUUAUUGGGCGUAAAGGGUGCGUAGGCGGUUAAAUAAGUUUAUGGUCUAAGUGCAACGCUCAACGUUGUGAUGCUAUAAAAACUGUUUAGCUAGAGUUGGAUAGAGGCAAGUGGAAUUCCGUGUGUAGUGGUAAAAUGCGUAAAUAUACGGAGGAACACCAGAAGCGAAGGCGGCUUGCUGGGUCUUAACUGACGCUGAGGCACGAAAGCGUGGGGAGCAAACAGGAUUAGAUACCCUGGUAGUCCACGCCCUAAACGAUGAGUACUAAACGUUGGAUAAAACCAGUGUUGAAGUUAACACAUUAAGUACUCCGCCUGAGUAGUACGUACGCAAGUAUGAAACUU